UGCAGGUCGACGAUUAGAGUUUGAUCCUGGCUCAGAUUGAACGCUGGCGGCAGGCCUAACACAUGCAAGUCGAGCGGAAACGAGUUAUCUGAACCUUCGGGGAACGAUAACGGCGUCGAGCGGCGGACGGGUGAGUAAUGCCUGGGAAAUUGCCCUGAUGUGGGGGAUAACCAUUGGAAACGAUGGCUAAUACCGCAUAAUGCCUUCGGGCCAAAGAGGGGGACCUUCGGGCCUCUCGCGUCAGGAUAUGCCCAGGUGGGAUUAGCUAGUUGGUGAGGUAAUGGCUCACCAAGGCGACGAUCCCUAGCUGGUCUGAGAGGAUGAUCAGCCACACUGGAACUGAGACACGGUCCAGACUCCUACGGGAGGCAGCAGUGGGGAAUAUUGCACAAUGGGCGCAAGCCUGAUGCAGCCAUGCCGCGUGUAUGAAGAAGGCCUUCGGGUUGUAAAGUACUUUCAGUCGUGAGGAAGGUUCAUGCGUUAAUAGCGUAUGGAUUUGACGUUAGCGACAGAAGAAGCACCGGCUAACUCCGUGCCAGCAGCCGCGGUAAUACGGAGGGUGCGAGCGUUAAUCGGAAUUACUGGGCGUAAAGCGCAUGCAGGUGGUUCGUUAAGUCAGAUGUGAAAGCCCGGGGCUCAACCUCGGAAUAGCAUUUGAAACUGGCGGACUAGAGUACUGUAGAGGGGGGUAGAAUUUCAGGUGUAGCGGUGAAAUGCGUAGAGAUCUGAAGGAAUACCGGUGGCGAAGGCGGCCCCCUGGACAGAUACUGACACUCAGAUGCGAAAGCGUGGGGAGCAAACAGGAUUAGAUACCCUGGUAGUCCACGCCGUAAACGAUGUCUACUUGGAGGUUGUGGCCUUGAGCCGUGGCUUUCGGAGCUAACGCGUUAAGUAGACCGCCUGGGGAGUACGGUCGCAAGAUUAAAACUCAAAUGAAUUGACGGGGGCCCGCACAAGCGGUGGAGCAUGUGGU
rnacentral:rRNA from 1 species